rnacentral:rRNA from 1 species
GAUGAACGCUGGCGGCGUGCCUAAUACAUGCAAGUCGAGCGAACAGACGAGGAGCUUGCUCCUCUGACGUUAGCGGCGGACGGGUGAGUCACACGUGGAUAACCUACCUAUAAGAUUGGGAUAACUUCGGGAAACCGGAGCUAAUACCGGAUAAUAUAUUGAACCGCAUGGUUCAAUAGUGAAAGACGGUUUUGCUGUCACUUAUAGAUGGAUCCGCGCCGCAUUGGCUAGUUGGUAAGGUAACGGCGUACCAAGGCAACGAUGCGUCGCCGGCCUGAGCGGCUGAUCGGCCACACUGGAACUGAGAAACUGUCCAGACGCCUACAGUAGGCAGCAGGAGGGAAUCUUUGGCUAUGGUCGAAAGCGUGACAGAGCAACGCCGCGUGAGUGAUGAAGGUCUGCGGAUCGUAGAACUCUGUUAUUAGGGAAGAACAAAUAUGUAAGUAACUAUGGACGUCUUGACGGUACCGAAUCAGAAAGCCACGGCUAACUACGUG